AACGGGUGAGUACACGUGAACACUUACCCUUCAGUGGGGGACUAGGCAGGNAAACCUGUGCUAAUACCGCAUAUGUCAUAGCGACGAUGUCGCAUUGAUGANAGGUGGGGACCUUCGGGCCCAUCGCUGGAGGAUUGGNUCGCGCCCCAUUAGCUUGUUGGUGAGGUAACGGCUCACCAAUGCGACGAUGGGUAGCCGGCCUGAGAGGGUGACCGGCCACACUGGGAUUGAGAUACGGNCCAGACUCCUUCGGGAGGCAGCAGUCGAGAAUCUUCGCGAUUUAGCGCAAGCUAGAGCGAGUGACGCCGCGUGUGGGAAGAAUGCCUUAUGGGUUGUAAACCACUGUCAGGAGGGAAGAAUAGCGGGUAGUCUAAUAGGCUGCCCGUGUGACGUUACCUCCAGAGGAAGCUCCGGCUAACUCCGUGCCAGCAGCCGCGGUAGUACGGGGGGAGCAAGCGUUGUCCGGAAUCAUUGGGCGUAAAGGGCACGUAGGCGGACUGGUAAGUCGGAUGUGAAAUCCCACGGCUCAACUGUGGAACUGCGUUCGAAACUGCCUGUCUUGAGUACGCGAGAGGUAUGCGGAAUUCCUGGUGUAGCGGUGGAAUGCGUAGAUAUCAGGAAGAGCACCGGUGGCGAAGGCGGAAUACUGGCGCGAUACUGACGCUGAGGUGCGAAAGCGUGGGGAGCAAACGGGAUUAGAUACCCCGGUUGUCCACGCCGUAAACGAUGGGCACUGGGUAUUGGAGGUCUCAACCCCUUCAGAGCCGUAGUUAACGCGUUAAGUUGCCCGGCUGGGGAAUACGGUCG
rnacentral:rRNA from 1 species